UAUUUUAGUCUUGUUAGAGGAACCUGUUUUAUAAUCGAUAAACCACGUAUAUCUUACUUAUUUUAAAUAAUUUGUAUACCGUCAUUAUUAGAUAACUUUUAAAAAAUUAGUUAUUAAAAUUAAAAAAAAAAUUAAAUAUAUUAGAUCAAGGUGCAGUUAAUAAAUAAGAAAAAAUGGGUUACAAUAAAAAUUUAUUUAAAACGAAUUAUAUAAAUGUAAAAAUAUAUGAAGGAGGAUUUAAUUGUAAUUUUUUUUUUAUAAAAUAAUAAUAUGAUAAUAGCUCUAAAAUAU
rnacentral:rRNA from 1 species